AACUUUAUUUGUUUUUGUCAACCAAAGACUUCACCUUUAGAGGGCACUGGAAAAAAAAGCAAAAAUUCGAGGACUUGCUACUUUAUCAUCUUCUUCUUGUUGUUCUAUGAGAAAGAAGAAAAAGCAAAAAACUUGGUCAUUCUUUGUCUCUCACACAAAUCAUAAAAGUAAAUACCUUUUUUUUCUCGAUUUCUUUUACUUACUUACAUGGUCAUGGAUGAUUGUUCACUCAAUUUGGAAUCUGUUCUAUUGCAAUUAGUAUAAAAAAGCGUGGUCCGUGUACUUUUUUUUAUUGUCUGCUUCCUCAUCUGAUCAACGCUUAAUUUAUGGGUCUUUGGAUUCUAUCGGAACUUGGAUAAAAAAAAAUAUAUUUGGUGGUUAUUAACUCUUCUUCGAAACCCCCUUUUUGUUUUUUGUUGUUGCUCUCUUUCUUUUUUUUCUUCCUUUUGUGUGUGUUUCAGAAAUCCAGAAAUAAUCCAACUCUUUUGUCGCUCGGCUCGAAGCUUUUGGUUUUUGUUUUGAUUUUCUCAAUCUGGGCACACCAAUGGGGGAAGAAAGUUUCUAACUUUACAAAGAAGAAACAGUGGUGUGUUUUGAAUUUGAUGAUUGGGUGUUUUAAAGACCCAACAUAUGUUUUGAUGAGGGUUUUGCUGUGUAAGAUCCAGUGCCCUUCUUUCAUCUGUUUCUGUAAGCCUUCUCCUCAUAUCUACGCAUCUGGUUCUCUUAAAUUGGAGAACGCUCCUUCUUCUCAAGUGUCUUCUUCUACUACUACUGCGGUUGUCGAUCACGAUGAUGAUGAUACACAUGUAGAAGAAGAAGAGGUUGUUGAUCAUGUGGAUGAUGGUUUGUUGACUGAGGUUGGAGAAGAAGAUUGUGCUCUUGUUGAGGUUAAAAAAGAAGAAGGUCUUGGUAAUGGGGAAAUCUUGAAGAGCAGUCUCAGAAAGGAGGUUUUAGAUUCAGCUGAUGGUGGUGUGAGAAGGGAGAAGAAGAAAGUACAGUGGGUGGAUUUGAUGGGGAAAGAACUUGCUGAGAUCCGAGAAUUCGAGUCUAGUGAAGAAGAAGAUACCAGAUAUGAUGGCAAUCAAAGCUGUGUUUGUGUUAUUCUGUGAUCAAUUCGGCUUAGUUUUACGCGGAGAUAUGGCAAUGGUGAAAAGUGAAGAAGCUUGUUUGAGAAUUGGCUCUGUUCAUUUUGCGGCUUUGGAUUUAGAAUCCAUCUACAUUGAGUCAUUGGAACGGAUUGGGUGAAGGAUCUAAGCUUUGUAACCUCUCUAGGCAUCCAAAUUUGAACAGUAUGCUUCUCGUUAGGCUGUUGUAUGGGACACUCGGUGUUUUUCAACAUGGUUUUGGGGAUUUGAUCGACCGGUAUGAGUUUGCGAUCAUAAUUCAUCCAUAAGAUGGUGCUAUUGAGAGAGAUCCCGACGUUUUGAAGAACACUGACGAUUUAUUCAAAAUGAUUCCAAAUAUGAUAUCUAAUGAACACAUUAUUCUCUUGUUUAAAAAAUCAUUACACUUGCACAGAAAUUUGUAUGCAAGCCAAAGGAAUCCGUAUC